rnacentral:rRNA from 1 species
AUCAUGGCUCAGAAUAAACGCUGGCGGCGUGCCUAACACAUGCAAGUCGAGCGAGAAAGUCCUUCGGGAUGAGUACAGCGGCGGACGGGUGAGUAAUACGUGAGAAUCUGCCUUUUAGUGGAGAAUACCUUCGAGAAAUUGAAGUUAAUACUGCAUAAGUCCUUCGGGAGAAAGAUGGCCUCUUUGCUGUCGCUAAAAGAUGAGCUCGCGCACUAUCAGCUAGUUGGUGGGGUAAAGGCCUACCAAGGCUAUGACGGUUAGCCGGCCUGAGAGGGUGUACGGCCACACUGGAACUUAGACACGGUCCAGACUCCUACGGGAGGCAGCAGUGGGGAAUAUUGCGCAAUGGGCGAAAGCCUGACGCAGCGACGCCGCGUGGAGGAUGAAGGUCUUCGGAUUGUAAACUUCUGUUAAGUGGGAAGAAAAAUUUGCGUUUAAUACACGCAAGGAAUGACGGUACCAUUAGAGAAAGCACCGGCUAACUUCGUG